UUUAGCUGUGAAUUUAUUUUCGGAAGCUGCCUGCUGCCUGGGUGAAAGCUGCUGCUACUUAGAGGAUGGAGUCUGGACUGUUAUUUUCAGACUAUUCGUAAACUGAGUUGAUGCAGCAGGCUUAUGGUGAUUGUUUGGAAGGAAGCAAGUGGUUGAUGAAAAGAACAUCAGAUAACUUUCAAAAGACCCAGAAUGACAGACUAUAUCACAGGUCCUGCACCUCACUCUAACUGGCCUGUACUGGGAAGAAUGGACCUGCAUCUGACAUCUCCAAGCACAUUAGGUUUUCACUCUUGUGUACAACUGCAUUUUAACCAUAUAUCAUUUAAUCUAGUUUUCUUAUUAUUUUUCAUCAUUAGUUUAGGUGACACUGUAAAACUCCUCUGCCAAUCAUGAGCAGACAGAUUAUCUGCUGUGGCGAUCCCUAACCAGGAAAAGCCGAAAGAAGAAGAAGAAGUUUAAGUGGCACAAUAGCCUUUGUUCUCUUUAACAGGACUAUGCACAGUGAGAUGUUUUCCUCAUGGAUUCAUAGUUGGUUGCUACGCUACUGACCCCAGGAAACUUUUUUAAGCCAAGCCAUGCUUCCCAAGGUGGGGAUCAAAGUCUGUACUCUGUGUCUAUUAGGUAAACACUUUCACCAUUAUGCAACCUCCAACUAAUGGUUCCACUGGGGAUUGAACCCAGGACCUUCAAAGUGUGAAGCAAACAUGACAACCAGUACAUUACAGAACCCGCAGCUGAAGGUUAUAACUUCUAAAAGUUGAUACUGUUAACAUCUAUGGAGCUUUUUAUCAAUAACUUAACCACUACACAUAAAAUGUACCAGUAAAGCAGUCAGCUUAUUUGGGAUCUAUAUUUAUUUUUUGUAAGUUGAAAGCAGGGAUUUUAUCAUGCUGUAUUCUUAAAAUAUUGUUAAAACCACUGAGAACUGAACACUGACACAUUCAUUGUCAAAGUGAUGAAAAUAUCACAGUCCCAAAUGUUUUAAACAACUAUAAUGUUGCAUUCAUAACGUCAUUUUAAACAAUUCUGUAUCUGACAGUGCAUUUAUGCAACCCUGAGGGAGUGACUACUAUCCCUUUGUCCUCUGUUCCAAGACUACCAUCAGUCCUUGUCAGAGGAACUAUUGUGUUUCUUUUCAUGCAGACUGCACUUAUCUCCUUCUGGCAAUGCCAAGUAUAACUUGAUUUGUCAGAUGUCAGCAUUCUGAUAAAAUAUAAAAUAUACAAAAAUAUUUUGGCUGUCUAGUUAUUAUUCUACAAUCUUUUCACUGAAACUAAAUGAUCUGACAACUGCUCAUUAUUAUGAUAUUUGGCAACAUAAAAGCAAUUAAAAUUUAUUAAACAUAUAAUAUGGGGAGCUUUGACCCAUAUAUCCCUACUUUAUUAUAUAUUAUUAACUCAGUGUCCUUAUACAUUUGAAGAAAAGGUAAUGUUGACCAUCAUCUUAUCUGGAAUUUAUGAAGCUUUUGCUGAUGAGAAAAAAAAAAAAAGGCAGAUGGUCAGUUGAGAGAAUAUCUAUCAAAUAGAAGAAUAUGAGAUUAUUAUUAAGAAAAAUGCUUCUACAUUAAUGAAAAUCACUAUGUGUGCCAAAGGGCUCUUCUUAGGGUCCUUAUUGUUCAGCUUUUCAUGCCUUUUACACCACGCUGUCCAUGCUUAUGCUUGACGAGUAUGCAAAUGACUGCAGAUUAGAAUACACAUCCAAUGCAACUUACACUAUCAAGAACACAUAGGUAUUUCUGAUCAUCUGUCAAAUGAACAUUUAGUAAAGAUCUUCAGGGAGGGUGAAUGUUCAUAGGUUCAUAGAUUAGUACUAAGCUAGCUGCUCUUGCGAGCCAUUUUAAGCUUAGC